AACGAACGCUGGCGGCAUGAUUUACACAUGCAAGUCGAACGGCAGCACGGGUGCUUGCACCUGGUGGCGAGUGGCGAACGGGUGAGUAAUGCAUCGGAACGUAUCCAAUAAUGGGGGAUAACGCACCGAAAGGUGUGCUAAUACCGCAUACGCCCUGAGGGGGAAAGUGGGGGACCGUAAGGCCUCACGUUAAUGGAGCGGCCGAUGCCUGAUUAGCUAGUUGGUGAGGUAAAGGCUCACCAAGGCGACGAUCAGUAGCUGGUCUGAGAGGACGACCAGCCACACUGGGACUGAGACACGGCCCAGACUCCUACGGGAGGCAGCAGUGGGGAAUUUUGGACAAUGGGCGCAAGCCUGAUCCAGCCAUGCCGCGUGAGUGAAGAAGGCCUUCGGGUUGUAAAGCUCUUUCGCAAGGAAAGAAAACUUAUCCCCUAAUACGGGAUGAGGAUGACGGUACCUUGAUAAGAAGCACCGGCUAACUACGUGCCAGCAGCCGCAGUAAGAC
rnacentral:rRNA from 1 species